rnacentral:rRNA from 1 species
AAAUUGAAGAGUUUGAUCAUGGCUCAGAUUGAACGCUGGCGGCAGGCCUAACACAUGCAAGUCGAACGGUAACAGGAAGCAGCUUGCUGUUUCGCUGACGAGUGGCGGACGGGUGAGUAAUGUCUGGGAAACUGCCUGAUGGAGGGGGAUAACUACUGGAAACGGUGGCUAAUACCGCAUAACGUCGCAAGACCAAAGAGGGGGACCUUCGGGCCUCUUGCCAUCAGAUGUGCCCAGAUGGGAUUAGCUAGUUGGUGAGGUAACGGCUCACCAAGGCGACGAUCCCUAGCUGGUCUGAGAGGAUGACCAGCCACACUGGAACUGAGACACGGUCCAGACUCCUACGGGAGGCAGCAGUGGGGAAUAUUGCACAAUGGGCGCAAG